UACGUAGGCAGCAAGCGUUGUUCGGAGUUACUGGGCGUAAAGAGUGCGUAGGUGGUGCCCUAAGUCUGUUGUGAAAUCUCCCGGCUUAACUGGGAGGGUGCGGUGGAAACUGGGGUGCUUGAGUGUGGGAGAGGUAAGCGGAAUUCCUGGUGUAGCGGUGAAAUUCGUAGAUAUUCGCAAGAACACCAGUGGCGAAGGCGGCUCACUGGCCCGAUACUGACGCUGAGGCACGAAAGCGUGGGGAGCAAACAGG
rnacentral:rRNA from 1 species